AUACGUAGGUGGCAAGCGUUGUCCGGAUUUACUGGGCGUAAAGGGAGCGUAGGCGGAUUUUUAAGUGAGAUGUGAAAUACCCGGGCUUAACUUGGGUGCUGCAUUUCAAACUGGAAGUCUAGAGUGCAGGAGAGGAGAAGGGAAUUCCUAGUGUAGCGGUGAAAUGCGUAGAGAUUAGGAAGAACACCAGUGGCGAAGGCGACUUACUGGACUGUAACUGACACUGAGGCACGAAAGCGUGGGUAGC
rnacentral:rRNA from 1 species